GGAUGCGAUCAUACCAGCACUAACGGCUCGGAUCCAAUCAGAACUCCAAAGUUAAGUAUGCUUGGGAGAUAGUAGUACUAGGAUUGGUGACACCCUGGGAAGUUUUCGUGGUGCGUCCUU
rnacentral:rRNA from 1 species